GGGGGCGUGACCGACAUGAGAUGAAAACUGCGCAGACUCAGCAACUCAUCCCCAAUAGGAGGGCGAGAGCCCCAGCGUCCUCGGUUUCCAUAGUGACAGAGCCUACUUCUGGUCUCUAACCGCCACGGUUUCCCUUCUUAGCUCCGGGCGCACCCAGGAAAGACAAAAAUACGCAUAAGGCCAGCCGUUUGACCCCUUGCAGCAGAAGAUAAAGGGCUCCACUCUAAACGUGGUGAUCCUUUCACCCCUGGGAGCUGCUUGGCAGAACUGGCCCUACACACCGGGAAACUGGAGGAAGGAUGAAAGACUGGAAGGACUGUGGUUGUGGAGGAGACCAAAGGAAUGCCGCCCGCGGUAGAAUGUUGGCAGCUCUUGCAUAGCGCUACAGACACAACAUGUGGUGGCCUAAGCACCCUAAUUUCUUUGUUUCUGCCUAGCCAGUAUAACAGUCCAGAAAACCUCCUUUCCUUUAGGAAAUAAAUACUCAGGGAUAUUAAAAUCGAAUUCAGAAAAGAAUUGGCUCAUGCAUGAAACUAUUAUAGACUAACACAAUAUCUCUAGGUCCCAGAACAUUAGAACCUGGAGCUAGUAAACAAUCUGGUGUGUGCAGACUGCAGGCUUCAAGGCAGUGUUUAUAGAUAGACUUGACAAGCAACAAAAACAGAUCUAUUUUGACUGGAUUCUGUAUUCAAACUUAAAGAUCCUCUUCCAACCCAGAGAUUGGACUUCAGGGCUCCAGAAAAUUCAGUUUAAAACUAUGACUUAA
rnacentral:lncRNA from 1 species